GAAAAUAUUUUUCUUUCUUCAGUAAUACAUUAAGGAAUGAUACAGAGAAGAUCAGCAUGGCCCCUGUGCAAGGAUGACAUGUGAAUUAAUCUGUUCUCACAUUGCUAU
rnacentral:snRNA from 10 species